UUUUGACGAUUUAAACACUUUCGGAAACUUCGUACGAUAAAAGUAACGUUUUCAUUUGAAACCGUUUCGAUUGUGUUUUAACUUGAAGAGAUAAGUAAGACGGAGACAAAGAAGUAGAGCAUUAAAGUGCAAAUGGUUUCAGUAAUGUAAAUGACAAUAAGUAAAUGCAAACCAGAGAUCACGCCGAUUUUACAGUGGUUCGGUCAAAUGACCUACAUCCA
rnacentral:lncRNA from 1 species